AUAGCUUUCCUUUAUCCUGCGACUAUGAGGGUUCGCUUUCUUCGAUAACUCAUCAUGUCCUCCGAGUACAAAAAGGAAGCUAAAAGGGACGAAGUUACGAAGUUUCAGAACACCCACAAACAGAGGACCGUCAAGUCGGGGGGCAGUAAACAAAUCAACGAAGGCCAAAAGUUUAAAUAUUUUCAUCCUUGUACAAUCUCCAGAUGGCGUGGCCUGAUCAUGAUUGGAGAUGCGAAAGCCGACACACAAUAAGCACAUGAAUAAUCAGAGUCAACUUCCACAGAGCAAAUAAGGUGAUCGUGGAGACACACAGCAGUGGCGAGCACAAUGUUGAAAAGAAAGAGGGCUUCACA